rnacentral:rRNA from 1 species
CCUACGGGUGGCAGCAGUGAGGAAUAUUGGUCAAUGGGCGCGAGCCUGAACCAGCCAAGUAGCGUGAGGGCAGACGGCCCUACGGGUUGUAAACCUCUUUUGUCGGGGAGCAAAGCGCGUCACGUGUGACUCCUUGAGCGUACCCUACGAAAAAGCAUCGGCUAACUCCGUGCCAGCAGCCGCGGUAAUACGGAGGAUGCGAGCGUUAUCCGGAUUUAUUGGGUUUAAAGGGUGCGCAGGCGGAGGUGCAAGUCAGCGGUCAAAUUGCGGGGCUCAACCCCGUACUGCCGUUGAAACUGCAGCCCUUGAGUGCGCGAGAGGUAGGCGGAAUGCGUGGUGUAGCGGUGAAAUGCAUAGAUAUCACGCAGAACUCCGAUUGCGAAGGCAGCAUACCGGAGCGCAACUGACGCUCAUGCACGAAAGCGUGGGUAUCGAACAGGAUUAGAUACCCGGGUAGUC